AAGCCCAUGGAAAGGGCACAAUCUUAAAAAAAUCUUUGAAACCCUCCCACGCGUCAAACAGGGAUUCACCGCCAUCUUGUCUAAAGUUGUUUAUUUCGCCUCUUACCU